UAGAGUUUGAUCCUGGCUCAGAUUGAACGCUGGCGGAAUGCUUUACACAUGCAAGUCGAGCGGCAGCGCGGGGGCAACCCUGGCGGCGAGCGGCGAACGGGUGAGUAACACAUCGGAACGUACCCUAUCGUGGGGGAUAACGAAUCGAAAGAUUCGCUAAUACCGCAUACGACCUGAGGGUGAAAGCGGGGGAUCGCAAGACCUCGCGCGAUUGGAGCGGCCGAUGUCGGAUUAGCUAGUUGGUAGGGUAAAGGCCUACCAAGGCGACGAUCUGUAGCUGGUCUGAGAGGACGACCAGCCACACUGGGACUGAGACACGGCCCAGACUCCUACGGGAGGCAGCAGUGGGGAAUUUUGGACAAUGGGGGCAACCCUGAUCCAGCCAUGCCGCGUGCGGGAAGAAGGCCUUCGGGUUGUAAACCGCUUUUGUCAGGGAAGAAACGCGCUGAGCUAAUACCUCGGCGUAAUGACGGUACCUGAAGAAUAAGCACCGGCUAACUACGUGCCAGCAGCCCCGGUCAA
rnacentral:rRNA from 1 species